GAUGAACGCUAGCGGCAGGCCUAAUACAUGCAAGUCGAACGGUGUCUUCGGACAUAGUGGCGCACGGGUGCGUAACACGUAUGCAACCUACCUUACAUUGGGGGAUAGCCUCUCGAAAGGGAGAUUAAUACCGCAUAAGACAGUAGUCUGGCCUCAGACAGCGGUUAAAGAUUUAUCGAUGUAAGCUGGGCAUGCGUCCAAUUAGUUAGUUGGCGAGGUAACGGCUCACCAAGACUAUGAUUGGUAGGGGAACUGAGAGGUCAAUCCCCCACACUGGCACUGAGAUACGGGCCAGACUCCUACGGGAGGCAGCAGUAGGGAAUAUUGGGCAAUGGACGCAAGUCUGACCCAGCCAUGCCGCGUGCAGGAAGAAGGCGUUAUGCGUUGUAAACUGCUUUUAUACAGGAAGAAACGACUCUUGCGAGAGGCAUUGACGGUACUGUAUGAAUAAGCACCGGCUAACUCCGUGCCAGCAGCCGCAGUAAGAC
rnacentral:rRNA from 1 species